UGGGUGUAUUAUAAGCGCGACUAUACGACUAGAUUGUUUUCAGGUGUUAAAAAGGGUUGGAACGGUGGUGGCUUUGGUUUCUGGAACCCAGUGCCACGCAGCACCUCUUGAGUGCCUGCAGACGUCGCCCAAAGUCGUAACGUGUUGGAAUUAGCUCACGGCGAAGAGCCUUCGCAGGAUCUUUUGCCUCAUCUCCUGUCUGCCGUCCCCCCCAGGCCCACCUGCUUGAUGGAUGGCACCCCACACGAGCUGGACGAUGUGGAGCUCCCAGUGGACGUUAUGGAACCUGUCGAUGGUCUAUGAAGAUUGUGUGUUGAGAUGGCCGGAUUGGGUCUCACAGUAUAUUUUGUGGGCGAGCAACAGCAAGCAGCUCUGGAAUUGCAUGUUUCCAUGAUUAUGGAGACAGUUGUGAGGCACGCUUGGCUUCAGAGGAGAGCGUUGAGCAGGUGACGAUCUUCGUAGAGAAGAUUCAUUUUGAUGAGUUUAGACUUGAGAGGUGCACAGUGGUUCCGCAGUGCAGUCCAUGUGCUUCACAUUUUCCGGCAUAGUUGGGAUACAACAUUAGUUCUGCUCGCUUUAUGUAUUGUAUCUGCCAGGUGUCGUCGAAAUUUUCCACUUUUGAUAAGUUAAAAGGAUAUUUGUAGGCUACGCAGCAUGCUUGAUCAGCUCAUGUGAGCACUUCGAAGACGUAGCCCAGUGAUUCAGAGAACCUUCUGUAGGCCUCCGGUGCAAAGUUGCAAGAGCGUAGAGCCUUUGAAACGGUCUAGAAAGCUCUUCAGAAGAUGCCCAUGUGGAGAACUCGAUUGGAUGAGCACCGGCAGCUAUAUAAAUUAGGAGGUUUAGCAAUUUCGAGUGUGAAUUCAUCCCAAGUGUGACGAAGAGGGACAAAUCCUUGACCUUCACAUUGAAGAGGUAUCGAAUGCAAUGGAAGCUCAAUUUGCAUCGUUUGAGUGGAAAUCUUUGUCGGUGGAAGGCAAGGCUCUGCAGGCCACCCAUGCUCCGCCUCCUCUCAUGAAUCCAUCGCCUCCCAAGUAUUCGAGGACGAAUUUCGCCCUGGUAUCUGGACUAGCUAUCCUCAUCGUGAUGGCUGUCGGUGCCAUCCUCUGCUGCUGCUAUCAAUGGGAGGUGCAAUUGAGGCUUCAAUCGCGGGCUCGUAGUGUAAGACAUUCGACGGAGCUUCUCGACGACAUGCCAUCAUCGUCACCGUCGAAUUCUUUUCAAGAUUCUGUGGAUUCUCGCAGCACCAAUGAUCCUCCAAGGGUUAUAUCUAUGUCCGUGAUAAUGCCUGGAGACGACUUUCCUCGAUUCGUCGCUUGGGUUGUCCCAUGAAGAUUUCCUGUUGCUUCCACUGUGACAGAAACCUUUAGAUUCUCACAUAGAAUUUCGCUGUAUGAUGAAGCGAACACUGUCAAGAAACCAAAUUGCAUGGAAGACCUCAUGCAGCUCCCGCUUGAGAGCGCACCUUCACAACUCAAACUCAAUGAAGUUUUGCACAAUGUCAGGGAUGUUGGCGUGUCUGCGAGGUAUAAUUUUCCUACGAAUAUAUCAUUAGUUCAACUGAAUCAGUUAAUACAACUCUUCUUGAAAAACAAGAAAGUUUUGUUUUAUUUUGACAUUCUUUGUUUGAGAUAAACAUGUAAUAAGUUUAUCGCAUCUUAAACCACACGUGGUUUUUGGAAGAGUAGCACCCCUUAGCUCCCAACCGGAGUAUAACUCAAUUCCGGGUUUUUGCCACUUCAAAUCCGCAACUGUUGUCUAUGUCCUACAGCUCAAGCUUGAGCUCUUUGUAUAUCCAUUACUUAAGGGUUCAAAAAGACAAAACAUUGUAUGAAAAUUCUUUGCGGUUCAGAACAAAGGGUCUCAUUUCAAUGUAGUUGACGAAGCAGUUGCAAGAGCAAACCUGAA